AGUAGUCAUAUGCUUGUCUCAAAGAUUAAGCCAUGCAUGUCUAAGUACAAGCCGAUUUAAGGCGAAACCGCGAAUGGCUCAUUAAAUCAGCUAUGAUUCAUUGGAUCUGUACCCACACUUACUUGGAUAACUGUGGUAAUUCUAGAGCUAAUACAUGCACCACGUCUCUGACCGCAAGGGAAGAGCGCUUUUAUUAGUUCAAAACCGGUCGGGCCUCGGUCCGUCACCCCACCGUGUUGAAUCUGAAUAACUUGUCGCUGAGCGCACGGUCUCCGCACCGGCGCCGCCUCUUUCAAGUGUCUGCCUUAUCAGCUUUCGAUUGUAGGUUAUACGCCUACAAUGGCUAUAACGGGUAACGGGGAAUCAGGGUUCGAUUCCGGAGAGGGAGCCUGAGAAACGGCUACCACAUCUAAGGAAGGCAGCAGGCACGCAAAUUACCCACUCCCGGCACGGGGAGGUAGUGACGAAAAAUAACGAUGCGAGACUCAUCCGAGGCCUCGCAAUCGGAAUGAGUACACUUUAAAUCCUUUAACGAGGAUCUAUUGGAGGGCAAGUCUGGUGCCAGCAGCCGCGGUAAUUCCAGCUCCAAUAGCGUAUAUUAAAGUUGUUGCGGUUAAAAAGCUCGUAGUUGGAUUUCAGUUCUGGACUGACGGUUCACCGCCCGGUGCAUACUGUCACGCUCCGAACAGCCACAACAGCCCGCUGGCUCGCACGGGGUGCUCUUCAUCGAGUGUCCCGCGUGGCCGGCAGAGUUUACUUUGAAAAAAUUAGAGUGCUCAAAGCAGGCUACACUGACGGCCUGAAUGCCUAUGCAUGGAAUAAUGGAAUAGGACCUCGGUUCUAUUUUGUCGGUUUUCUGAACCCGAGGUAAUGACUAAUAGGAACAGGCGGGGGCAUUCGUAUUGCGACGCUAGAGGUGAAAUUCUUGGACCGUCGCAAGACGAACUACUGCGAAAGCAUUUGCCAAGGAUGUUUUCAUUAAUCAAGAACGAAAGUUAGAGGUUCGAAGGCGAUCAGAUACCGCCCUAGUUCUAACCAUAAACGAUGCUGACCAGCGAUCCGCCGGCGUUAUUCCCAUGACCCGGCGGGCAGCUUCCGGGAAACCAAAGUCUUUGGGUUCCGGGGGAAGUAUGGUUGCAAAGCUGAAACUUAAAGGAAUUGACGGAAGGGCACCACCAGGAGUGGAGCCUGCGGCUUAAUUUGACUCAACACGGGGAACCUCACCAGGCCCAGACACCGGAAGGAUUGACAGAUUGAGAGCUCUUUCUCGAUUCGGUGGGUGGUGGUCCAUGGCCGUUCUUAGUUGGUGGAGCGAUUUGUCUGGUUAAUUCCGAUAACGAACGAGACUCUGGCCUACUAACUAGUCGACGGAUCUCCAGCAAUUGGUGUCCAGUUCGCAGCUUCUUCUUAGAGGGAUAAGCGGCAAUUCUAGCCGCACGAGAUUGAGCAAUAACAGGUCUGUGAUGCCCUUAGAUGUUCUGGGCCGCACGCGCGCUACACUGAAGGGAUCAACGUGUCCUCCCCCUCCGAGAGGAGCGGGUAACCCGUUGAAAUCCUUUCAUGAUAGGGAUUGGGGUUUGCAAUUGUCUCCCAUGAACGAGGAAUUCCCAGUAAGCGCAAGUCAUGAGCUUGCGUUGAUUACGUCCCUGCCCUUUGUACACACCGCCCGUCGCUACUACCGAUUGAAUGAUUUAGUGAGGCCUUCGGACUGGCGCUCUUGGAUGCCGGGCCCAUGUUAACGCCCCUCGGCGCCUCGAGCUGACGGAAAGAUGUCCAAACUUGAUCAUUUAGAGGA
rnacentral:rRNA from 1 species